GACGAACCGUGCGAACGUUGUUCGGAUUCACUGGGCUUAAAGGGCGCGUAGGGUACGGCGUGACAAGUCGGGGGUGAAAUCUUUCGGCCCAACCGGAAAAGGGCCCCCGGAUACCUGGUACGCUGGAGGGAGAUAGGGGCGCGCGGAACUUCCGGGUGGAGCGGUGAAAUGCGUAGAUAUCGGAAGGAACGCCGGUGGCCGAAAGCGGCGCGCUGGAGUCUCACCUGACGCUGAGGCGCGGAAAGCCAGGGGAGCAAACGGG
rnacentral:rRNA from 1 species